UAGUUUAUUUUGGAUAUUUUAGCAAUUAGUUAGGUGCACUUGGCUGCAUGUGCAAGGCUGUUAGGAGACAAAUAUGUCUAUAAAAAGCUGCUGCAAAUGGAGGGGAUUGCUAUGUUGAAUGAUAAUUGAAAUUCCAAUUUCUCUCUAAUCUCUCUCCCUCGUUCUUUUGCCAUUAUCCCUCAAAUUCUCUCUAAUUUUCUCCCUCCAUUCUUCUUCAAUUUCCCUUCUAUACAUUUUGUUCUUAACUUUAACGGUAUCAGAUCCUUCCAAUUUCUAUUCUAGUCCUAGGCUAAAUCCCAGGACCAUGACAAAUGGUACCAGAGCAGUCCAUCCUUAGCUAUGGUUUUGAUUCGAGUUCCGACAGUGAUUAUCAGUGAGUUCCGAUGGUGAUUAUCGGCUGUUGAUAGGCGAUUGUUUCCAAUUCGAUUCAAAGGAUAUUAAGAUCGGUAGUGAACGAGAGAGAGCAAAGCAGUUCUUGCCAACUGCAUCAAUUAAUCCUAAGCAAUUCAAAAUUGAAAGGUGGAGUAGCGUCAGGAGGUGAUGGCCACAAUUCUCAGCAACCCAGGCGAAUUCAAUGAGCUACCAUCGGCUAGUGGUCCUCGGCUCAGGAGGUCGCGACUAGUGCAGGAGUUCCAAGCGAUUGCAGUUGUGCAACGGGUUUAUGGCGAUCGUGGUUAGGUCGGUGAUUGGGCAGAACCUGAGGAAGGAAGCGUUGAUUCAUCACUGGUUGGGUUAUCACUGGUAAGAGGUUCGCGACUGGAAGUGAUCGCAUGUAGAGCAAAAUCAGAGGAAGGGAACGAGAGGUUAAGCAAAUUUGCCGACUGAUUGGGUGCGAAGCUUUCCAUUAGAGAGCACAAGUCUGACCGAACCUAAGGGACAAUCGCUGUUAGAACUUGGAGUGAUUUUUAGAGUUGCAACAGGCCAACGAUUAUUGGAAGGGAUUUUCUGGAAGUAAGGCAAUUGCAGCCGGGAGCGUGCGACUCAAGAGGGUGAUCUCAAAAGCAAAGUUGCGCAGCAGGUUUCUGAAAUCCAUGGCGAGUAAGCAAGUCCGAUCCAAAUGUUGAGAAGUGAUUUUGGGGGAGGCGAGCACGAAUCCAAUCAGGUGCAUUGUUGAUGCUGCCGCUUUGAUCGGUUGGGGAUUUCGACCUAGAUGAUGACUGUAAUGGACGUUUCAUGAGGUGAAUUUGGAGGCCGAACCGAUUCAAUCAAGUUCCAGAAGUAUUUGCACAACAGAAAUGUUGAGAUUUGGACUCGAGAGUGGGUGUAGCGAUUGAACUAGCAGUAAGUUUUGGUGAUUUUGGAAUCAGAAACGAGCGCAAAUUGGACUGGGAGCCUUGGACGGUGAUUGGGCAGUAGCUGAUCUUUGGCUGCGAUUUUGAUUUAAGUUGAAGGCAAGGAAAUCGGUUUCCAUAGUUAAGGUCCAGGGUGAGAAGGCUUGAAGGCGAAUUGGCUGGGCGGUAUUUCCAGGGAAGUAGAUAUAGGCUGAUUUUUGGAAAUUGAUGCCGAUGUCUGGGGUUAUCGACAACUAUCGUAGCAUUGAGGUUUGGAGUUCCAGAGGUGGAUGUUAUCAGCAAACUAACCAGGUAAAUUUUGAUCCGUUUAGGCUAUUGCCAGCUGACGUGGUUAAUUUCCAAGAGAGAGAGCAACCCUUCGAUCAGACGUUUGAAUUUGGGAUGAGAAGCAAGGUGGACAGCAUUCCGAAUCCUUGGCUUGCGUCCCGUUCUGCCAAGGCAGGCAGUGCACACAUGAGGCCAUGGGAGACUCAAUUGCAGCAGAAUAAGGAUGCAUUUUCAGUAGGGUGUCCUACUCGUGAAGCUAGGGGAGGCAGUGUAUACAUGAAGCAGAAUACUUCACUUUUUGCUGGAAUGGGACCUCAAUGGCAGCCAAAAAAGGCUGCAUUUCUAGUUGGCAGCAAUAGGGAACAGGAGAAGGGGAUCAAUCAAGUUGACAAGGAAACAAGAAGUGUAAUAUAUGAAGAGUGCAAGGAAUUCGGUCGAAUGUUCCACGAGAAGCUGCAGGAGUUUGCAAUGAUACUGAUUAAGAAGUAUCAUUACAACUUUUCGGUGGAAUACUUUGAUGAUUAUCACAGAAGUUUUAACAAAGAUGAAUUCCUUAAAAUGUAGUAGCUGAAGGAGAAAUUUAAGAGGCGAGAAGCAGAUUCAUUGCCUACCUCUAAUACAGAGUGAAAGAAGUAUAUCGGCCUAGGUGGAAUGGAUAAGAAAGGUGAUGAUAAUGACAGUGCUAGCAGCAAUAGCAGACUUUGCGGGGGUUCGGUACAGGGUGUGUGGGCAAAAGGAGAAUUAAAGGAACACACUGGUUCCUUUGGAAAAGAAGUUCCUGAUGAGGAUGUUCCAAAUGAUACUUAGGGAAGGCCAAAAGUAGAGCUAAAUGAUGCAGUUAGCUGGAUGAUAAAGAUAACAGAAGGCAGCCAGGAGUUUUUGGAGUUGGAAAAAAAUUAUCCAACUAAGAUUGACAAGAUAUAAGAAGAAUUGAUACAUCAAAGGGCAAUUACCAAAAAGUUGCAAGAGGAAAGCUGGGAAGUAUUUGAUCAAGUAACCAACGAAACCAAGGUCAACUUGUUACCCUUGGCAUCUAAUGCAUGGACUGAAGGAUUAGGUGGUAUGCUGGAUCAAAAUUCUGUAAGAAAUGGAAUUGAGAGUGGAGUUCCUAAGGAUAUUGUUCCAUUGCCUUUGGUUUCAGAUAACAUGGAGGGUUCUUUAUCAAAUGAUAAGAGGAAGACAACACCAGCAGAAGGAAGACCUGCUGAUCCUAAACGAUGCCACCGUAUUGCUGCCCAUUUUGAAGAUAAUGAGAAGAGGGGAAUAUAUGUGGUAGCUGGUUGGUUAGAGUUUCAAAAUGAUUGACAUUUAAAGGUUGUAGGGUUGUAGAUUUCAGCUGCUACCUGCGACAAGGAGCAGCUAAAUUCAUUGAAGGCAUUUGAUGUGAACACAUUGACAGGUUUUGGAAUUAUAUUGGAUCCCCAAACUAUCGAGUACUAGCAACCUUAAAUUGGUAGCUAUUGUAAACCCAAGGGAAAUAGUAUGUUACUCUUUGGAGGAAGAUGCAGCCUUGUCUGCAAUGAUUAUCAUUUUUGUUUCAAUUGAGAACCAAAAAAUGAAGAAGAAGAGACCUAGAAGGAGGAAGAAGGAAAGAAGGAAAGAAGGAUGACCCUUUCUAGCAAGGUCCUAUUCAUCAUUUCAGCAAGACCAUUUUGCUUUGGAUUUUCAGGGGCUGUCAAAUGUCUUAGGAUCCCAUUUUCUUUACAUAGCUGAGAGAACUCUUUGUUACAAAAUUCCAAACCAUUAUCAGUUCUAAUGAUUUUAAUUUUGUUACCUUUUUGGUUUUCUACCAUGGUUUUCCAUCCUUUAAAGGCUGCAAAAGUGUGGUCUUUUGACUUAAGAACAUACACCCAAACCAUCUUAGAAAAGUCAUCUAUUAUUGAUAGAAAAUAUCGGGCUCCACCAUGAGUCAAUGUUUGGGCAGGACUCCACAAAUCAGAAUGAAUAUAGUCUAAAGGUGCUUUAGAUGAAUGUAUGGCAGUUUUGGAGAAUUUUACCUUGGUUGAUUUCCCAAAUAUGCAUGACUCACAUUUAUCUAAAUCUGUAAGUUUUCCUAAUAUCCUUUGCUUAGAUAAUUCCCUAAGGCCUUGCUCACUAAUGUGAGCUAUUCUAUAAUGCCAAAGCCUUGUCUUAUUACAGGCUUUUAAUUCAGUGGCAGAAGCUUCUCCACAUACUGUGGAGGCUUGCAGCACAUAAAUGUCAUUAUUUAGGACUGCUCUCAUACUUAUUAGAGAGCCUCUAGAUACCCUUAGGACUCCACCAUCUCCCCUAUAGGAGUAGCCAUUUCUAUCUAACUCUCCAAGGGAAAUUAGGUUUCUUCUUAGUUCUGGAACAUAUCUUACAGAAUUUAAUGCUUUGAUAGACCCAUCUUGCAGUUUAAUCUUUAUAUCUCCUAUGCCUUUAAUCCUACAUUUAUGAUUAUUUCCUAACAACAACUUACCUCCUCCUAUUUCUUUAAAAUUCAAGAACCAUUGCUUAUGGGGUGACAUGUGGAAGGAGCACCCGGAAUCUAAUACCCAUACAGAUUUAUCUGUAUUUCCAGAUAUUGCAAGUGCAUCGGCACUAUCAUAGUCAUAUUCACAAAUAGAUGAGGAAUUUUCAGUCUUAGGUUUAUCUAGAAAAUCCUUCUUUUUCUUAGGACAAUUUCUCUUAAUAUGCACUUCCUCAUGGCAGUUAUAACAUUUUAUAGUUUUCCUACCAUUCUUGGAUUUAGACCUAGAUCUUCCCUUUUGCUUAGAAUUCUUUUUAUCAGACCUAGAUCUGAUUGUUAAGACAUCCCCAACUGUGCUCUUCCCAUCUACCCUAUGUUGCAAUUCCUUUGAAAUUAAUGCCCCUAUUGCAUCAUCUAGGGUUAGGGUGUCCCUGCCAUGCUUUAAUAUAUCUACAAAGGUCUCAUAUGAUUUUGGAAGAGAGUGCAACAAGACUAAUGCCUUGUCCUCAUCAUCAUAUUUUACUUCUAUAUUUUCCAGAUCUAGGCACAACUUAUUAAAACUAUCAAUAUGGUCUUGAAGCUUCUGUCCUUCAUUCAUUUUAAAAGUAAAGAACUUGGCCUUUAAAUACAAUCGACUUGAUAGGGUCUUGGUCAUAUAAAGGCUUUCUAACUUAAGCCAAAUCUCAGCUGCGUUUUUCAUCUUUGAUACUUCUCGCAACACCUUAUCCCCUAGACUCAAUAUCAAGGUAUUAUAGGCUUUCUUGACAAUCUCAUUUUUCUGUUCAUCUGAGAACGACUUAGGCAUUUUUGAUUCACCAUCUAAGGCUCUCAUUUUCAUUUUCCAGAGGCCAAAAUCAUUCUGGCCAUCAAACUUUUCAAUGUCAUAUUUAGUGGCCGACAUUCUUGACACUAUUCCUAUGACAGAAACUUUGAACAAUGAAAAUCUUGAGCUUUCUUGAUCUGAAAGACUGGCUCUGAUACCAAGUUGUUAACUUAGGAGCACUUAGAAUUAGAUUUCUUGAUCGGAUUUCAUUGCCCCACCCUUGCACACACUCUCAAUUCCAAUGAUAAUAGAAACAAAAGAGAAUGAUAAUGAAAACAGAAUGUAAAUGACAGAAAAAUAAAACCAAACCACAAGAAGAACACAAGCAGUUUAUCCUAGUUCGGAUUGCCCUUAGGACAACCCUACAUCCAGCCUCUUAAAGCCUCCUCAUAGCAGCCUUCUUUAAUUUAGAAUGAUAGCAGUACAACCGCGCCCUCACGAUUACAAGUCUCUCCAAGAUUACAAAGACUAUUUCUUGUACACAGCCUUUUCUCUCUCUAACUUCCUCGUGAGAAUGAACUACUUCCCAUAAGCCUAGACCCCUAUCCUAUUUAUAGAAAAUUAGGGCGUUAAUCUCUAGGUCUUAUAACCAGUUUAGACAUUCCCGGUUUUACCCUCAAACUUAAUACUAAUUACAAAGCUGAGAAACCGUCUGACUAUACCAACUAAACCGAUACAUUAUAACUGCUAUAAAAAAUCUGGAUCUACUCGAGACAACAUUCUAAAACUCUCCUUCGUUCUUCUGCUAUUCUCCCUCAAUGCUCUCUAAUUUUCUCCCCCAUUCUUCUUCAAUUUCCCUUCUAUACAUUAUGUUCUUAACUUUAACGGUAUCGGAUCCUUCCGAUUUCCAUUCUAGUCCUAGGCUAAAUCCUAGGACCAUGACAAUACAUUUCAUCCUUAUGUGUUUCGACUAAGUGUGCCCGCCAAACCCUGGCCGUCGGAGGUCUGGUUUCCACCCAUUGAUUUGGGGAGAGUUCGAGGAAGUUCGAGUUUGUUCCACUGGCUGCUACUGGAACAAGAGAUAUGUUUUUCGAGUGAGCAUAGUGAUGCUUAUCUGUCCAACAGAGGGGCAGUGUGCAUUGCAGAUAAAAUGACAGAUUUAUUUGGGCCAUAUCCUCGUACCUUACCCUCAUUGUGGCAGCAUCCUUGGGUGCUUUUCCUUAUUUACUCUUCUUUGGUUCCAUAUAUGAUGAGGCAUGAAUGCGCACUUUUAUUCAAGUCAUGGUUUUGAUGGAGGGGAAGGUUGUUGCGCUGAUAGAAUGAUGAUCAAGAGAAAAGCUAAAAUUUAUUCUUGAAUAUGUUUUGUUGGCUUGUUCAUCUUUAUUUCAAUGUUCCUAGCCACUUUCAAUGAAUUGACGUCAUGAUAUGAAGGAGCUUUGUUGGAUGUUUGAUUGUCAUCUACUUCUGUGUGUACUCCUAACUGCUUUAUGCAUGUUCAUAAAAAGUCUAUGCGAAUGCGAGAGUGGCCGAUGCAGCUAUAUUGUCAUGUAAACCUAACCGAACCAUUUAACUCUAGUUUCUCAGCUGAGUGUUUUACAAUAUAGCACAGGCAUUUAGUAAGACCAUUUAAGUGAUUGAGAAGUGGCUGAUUAAUUUGUGUAAGGAAUGCUGUUGUCUACAUCAUGGUUAUGGUAUUCAUUUGCUCAAAACAUAAAAACUUUGUUGUCCUAGUAAGGUACAAAAAUGUUGCAACUUGUUUGUUGCAAAACUGGCAGUCAAUGUGGGUGCAAUGGUCAAUCCGGUGAUUUUUUUGUUUAUUUAUUUAUUUUAAGUUUUGGUUGGAAUGAUAGUUAUUCUGUACUAAAUUGUAGUUUAGUUAUAAUGGAUAUAGCAUUUAUGGUGAAUGCUUCUAUUCUGCAGGUGAACAGUUCGGAAUUUAGCACUCAUGCUGAAAGCUCCAGGGCACCUGAUGGUGGAACUCAACUUCCAGGGGCACCAUGGUUAGCCCCUCUCAGAUGGAGCUGGGCAGUCAGCCUGCUCACCCGCAUGGUUGACUGGUGAGAUGGUGAAGGCACUAGUUCGGCCGUUCAAGGGCAUUCCCUCAAAAGAAAUCAACCUGCUCUCUCCAGAGCAAAAGCAUCAAUGGAACCCAUGCUGGGCAGCACACCUAUACUUAUCCAAAUGCAUUACCACCCUGCCAAGCAUCCAUGGGAGGGAAGUAAUGGCACUUCUUUAGCUUGAGAGACUGGAAAUAUCCAACUGGCCUGAGAACAAGCAGAACCACAGAGGCAGAUUAUUGGAAGACAACAGGGAAAGACAAGGAGAUUUUCUGGGGCGGUAUCUUGGUUGGAAUGAAGAUAAUCCUAGUCUUCUAUGGAGGUGGAACCCCAAAAGGUAAAAAACCAACUGGGUUAUGCAUGAAUACAGGCUAGAACCCCAUGCCUUGAUUCAAUGCAACAAGUACUACCACCAUCCACUCUCCCAGACCCUGUCUUUGCACUAAUAGUUUUUCCGAUUUGACCUAGAAAAGUCCAAGUUGUUCAGGCAUAGGUUUGGGCGGGGACCCAUAGCUCAGGGACAAAUUUCCAUCCCUUGCACCUGUCCCAAGGUAUCAUUUCUAGUACAUGUAUGGAGCAAGCUUGAAAACACACUCAGUACACCUAUGUAUGUUUUAUAAAUUUUUAUUGAAUGUGACAUUUGAUCUAUAUGCAUUUUUAAAUAGCAUAAAUUUUUCAUAUGGAGUGUACCUAACACGAUCAUUUUUCUAUUGCAAUGCAAUUGAGUCAAUUUCAUUUUUUCAUAGUGAAAAAAUAAAAUGUAAA